AUGUCCUACGGGGGGCAGCAGUGGGGGAUAUUGCACAAUGGGGGGAACCCUGAUGCAGCGACGCCGCGUGGGUGAAGAAGCGCCUCGGCGCGUAAAGCCCUGUCAGCAGGGAAGAAAAUGACGGUACCUGACUAAGAAGCCCCGGCUAACUACGUGCCAGCAGCCGCGGUAAUACGUAGGGGGCAAGCGUUAUCCGGAUUUACUGGGUGUAAAGGGAGCGUAGGCGGGGA
rnacentral:rRNA from 1 species